rnacentral:rRNA from 1 species
GACGAACGCUGGCGGCGUGCCUAAUACAUGCAAGUCGAACGAACCGCGACUAAGUGCUUGCACUAAGUCAAGGUGAGUGGCGAACGGGUGAGUAAUACGUGGGUAACCUACCUCAUAGUGGGGGAUAACAGUCGGAAACGACUGCUAAUACCGCAUAGGACAUAGGAUCACAUGAUCCAGUGAGGAAAGGUGGCGCAAGCUAUCGCUAAGAGAUGGACCCGCGGUGCAUUAGCUAGUUGGUAGGGUAAAGGCCUACCAAGGCGAUGAUGCAUAGCCGACCUGAGAGGGUGAUCGGCCACAUUGGGACUGAGACACGGCCCAAACUCCUACGGGAGGCAGCAGUAGGGAAUCUUCCGCAAUGGACGCAAGUCUGACGGAGCAACGCCGCGUGAGUGAAGAAGGUCUUCGGAUCGUAAAGCUCUGUUGUUAGAGAAGAACAGCGCAUAGAGUAACUGCUAUGCGUGUGACGGUAUCUAACCAGAAAGCCACGGCUAACUACGUG